UAUUUGUAAGGGAUUUAUAAGGGAUUUGUAAUGAUUUUGUUCCGCUGCAUUAAUUUUAUCAUGACUUAGGAUGUCACAGAAAAUGUAAAAGACACCAAAAUAUAAAAGUAAGCUAAAACCUAAAAGAAAAGAAAGGCAAUUACAAUGUAAUCAAUUAAGGUCUUCAAUAAGUUCUUUCCUUCAAAAAAUCUCCACAAGAAAUAAAUAAUCUAAUUAUGUCAUCUUCAUGAGGAAUAUCUAAUGUUUAAAAAUGAACUUGCAAAAAACAAAAUAAAUAAUCUUAAAUUCUGACUAAAGUAAAUUAAAUAAAUCUC
rnacentral:lncRNA from 1 species